AAUAAACAUCGGUCUUUCAGACAAACGUUUGGUCUAAUAGCAUGAUAUUCCUACUUAUAAUAACCGGACAUUUUGUAUUAUAACAUAAUUAUUUGUUUGACCUGUGACAUAUGUACAGUAAUCCCACGCUCAAUUAAUAAUCCAUCUAACGCUGUAAACAUUAGUUUAACAAGCGAGCAUUUCUCAACAGUAUUUCUAGGAAAAUUUUCUAUUAAUGGAACAAUAUGUCGAUUGCUUUUUGUUUGAUUUUUACGUUUUAUUUUCUUCAGUCACUUGUAGGUAUAUCGGGGAACGCAUUGCAUGAAGUUCUUGAAAAUUUACCAAAGGAUUCUUUGGAAUUCGAUAAAACAUAUAGGAGGUCAUUCACGAUGUCAAUGAAAGCAAUACAAGCUCUUCGAGCUGGAAUACCCGAAAAACGGAGGAUCGUUAAUUUUAAACAUUUCCCGUCUCUUGUGUAAUUUAUUAAAACAAAUUUAUUACGA